CGCAGCGUAAUUAGCAACGCAGAGGCAACGUUUGCUGGCGAUAAUUAAUGACGUUGGUCACGUUGGUUUCAUGUCGAUUUCAUUUCAUGACACUGCCG
rnacentral:pre_miRNA from 1 species